UGCAAAAUCAAUAAGCGGAGGAAAAGAAACCAACAGGGAUUGCCUCAGUAACGGCGAGUGAAGCGGCAAAAGCUCAAAUUUGAAAUCUAGCACCUUCGGUGUUCGAGUUGUAAUUUGAAGAUGGUAACCUUGGGUUUGGCUCUUGUCUAUGUUCCUUGGAACAGGACGUCAUAGAGGGUGAGAAUCCCGUCUGAUGAGAUGCCCAUUCCUAUGAAGGUGCUAUCGAAGAGUCGAGUUGUUUGGGAAUGCAGCUCUAAGUGGGUGGUAAAUUCCAUCUAAAGCUAAAUAUUGGCGAGAGACCGAUAGCGAACAAGUACAGUGAUGGAAAGAUGAAAAGAACUUUGAAAAGAGAGUGAAAAAGUACGUGAAAUUGUUGAAAGGGAAGGGCAUUAGAUCAGACUUGGUGUUUUACGAUUAUCUUCUCUUCUUGAGUUGUGCACUCGUAUUUCACUGGGCCAGCAUCGAUUCGGAUGGCAAGAUAAUGGCAGUUGAAUGUGGCUUCACUUCGGUGGAGUGUUAUAGCUUCUGCUGAUAUUGCCUGUCUGGAUCCGAGGGCUGCGUCUUUGACCUAGAUGCCUGGCUAAUAUCAUCGU
rnacentral:rRNA from 1 species